rnacentral:rRNA from 1 species
UACGUAGGGGGCUAGCGUUGUCCGGAAUCAUUGGGCGUAAAGCGCGCGUAGGCGGCCAGAUAAGUCCGGUGUGAAAGUCAGAGGCUCAACCUUUGAAUGCCGCUGGAAACUGUCUGGCUUGAGUCCGGAAGGGGCGAGUGGAAUUCCCGGUGUAGCGGUGAAAUGCGCAGAUAAUCGGGAGGAACACCAAUGGCGAAGGCAGCUCGCUGGGACGGUACUGACGCUGAGACGCGAAAGCGUGGGGAGCGAACAGG